CGUCUCCCGAUGUCCCUUAGUGUCUCUGUGUCUGCCAUAAUGUCUCCCAGUGUCCCUUAGUGUCUGCCAUAAUGUUUCCCAAUGUCCCUUAGUGUCUCAGUGUCUGCCAUAAUGUCUCCCAGUGCCCCUUAGUGUCUUAGUGUCUCAGUGUCUGCCAUAAUGUCUCCCAAUGCCCUUUAGUGUCUCAGUGUAUGUCUCCUUGCAGCCUUUCCCCCAUCCCUUACUUCCCUGAGCUGUAGGCUGUCU